UGUGUGUGUGUGUAUUCCCUGUUUAGUUUCCUUUGGACUUCCCCAGUUUGUGUAGCAGUUAGUUUCAGCAGGAUUUAGAUUUGGAGAAGGUCUCUAAUGAUGGAUAUCUGUUUUAUUUUACUGUCCUCCGUCUGGAGCUCCAGCUGAAGAGAAAUGAUUCAGAGGACGUAAAGCUGAGACAGACUGAGCACGCUCAGUUGCUGCUUCACCUGCCCCACCUCACACAGCUGACAGACAGGAUCACAUGGAGCAGAGGCCUGGACUACAAAGCAGGAUUUGGCG